UGGGCCAGCCCUAAUGAAUGCUCAUUAACCACAUGUGCAGCUAAAGCAAUGGCUUAAGUUCCAUGGAGCCUCUCCCCUCCCAGAAUCAACUAGCAAUUUUCCUCCUGUAUCAUACUCUGAAGUACUAGCACUGAAUAAGAAGCAAUGACCAAUAAUGCCCAAAAGACAUUUCUGUCUAUGGGUGAACUUGAAAAUGGGAGACAUGUGGACCAUAGAUGCUGAUCUUCAUUUAGUUUUAACAGCAGCAGGCCAGGACCAGCCUCUGAAAUCCAGGACUGUCCCAGCUAAACUGGAACAUGGUAACCCUAACUCAGCCC